rnacentral:lncRNA from 1 species
AAGGAGCAAGGACUGGUGUUUAUAGACAGGAUCAGGGAGGUCCCAGGGAAGCGAAGCCCAGCUGUUCCUUCGGGGUGUGUACUUGGAACUGCAUCCAGGUCUCGCUUAGGGUCCCCGCGGCGAGGCGGAGCAGCUAAUUUGAGAGCACAACAAAUAAACAAGGAGCAUCUUUCUGGAUCAUCGAUUUGAAGAUGUAGAAAAAAUCAUAUUUUGUAUUAAAACGAACAAGAAUAUAUUUGGAAUACAACUUCUGCAUAAAAUAUAAAGAUAAAACUCUUGAAAUGCCCUGCUUGCUUAGAGCGAGUUCAAGGCCCUCACACUCCUAA